UUUACUUUUGCCUUUCAUUCAUGUCAUUUCUAGAUAUGAAUUUUCUUAUUCGUCCAUAGUUCAAUCAAUAAUAAAAAAAUAUUUAUUGUAAAUUUUAUUAUAGCAAAUGAACGUGACGCCAAGAGUUUGUAAAUUACAUGCAAUUUUUCGUCGUGGUAUAGUGAACUAUCUAUCUCGACCUUAUUUAAACCCAGUGAACUCUACAACAACUGGAAGGCUAACUUGGACGCCAUCUUUGAAGCCUGCAUGAGCGCCGCCAUUGAAGCAUGCUUCCCGUCUCUCCGUCAGCAUCCUCUUCGUCGCUCCAUCAGCAUCCUCUUCGUCGCUCCAUCAGCAUCCUCUUCGUCGCUCCAUCAGCAUCCUCUUCGUUGCUUCAUCAGCAUCCACCUCGUAACGCCAUCAGCAUCCUCCUCGUAGCACCAUCAGCAUCCUCCUCG